rnacentral:rRNA from 1 species
GAUGAACACUAGCUACAGGCUUAACACAUGCAAGUCGAGGGGAACGGCAUUUAGUGCUUGCACCGAAUGGACGUCGACCGGCGCACGGGUGAGUAACGCGUAUCCAACCUACCCAUUACUGUGGGAUAACCUGCCGAAAGGCAGACUAAUCCGCAUGGUCUUCGAUGAUGGCAUCAGAUUUGAAGUAAGAUUUAUCGGUAAUGGAUGGGAUGCGUUGAUUAGCUUGUUGGCGGGGUACGGCCCCCAAGGCCGAUCAGUAGGGUUUGAGAGGAAGGUCCCCCCAUUGGAACUGAGCACGGUCCAACUCCUACGGGAGGCAGCAGUGAGGAAUAUUGGUCAAUGGGCGCGAGCCUGAACCAGCCAAGUAGCGUGCAGGAUACGGCCCUAUGGAGAUUGUAAUCUGCUUUUGUAUGGGAUAAAGUUAGGACGUGUCCCUAUUU